CUGGCCUCUAUCAGUAUCCACUUGAGUAGGAUCUGGAUCGUCUUCUCCUCAUAAAUCUUUGCUCCAAAAAUCAGAUCUGAAUCUAAUCUGAAAGAUCUUCAAAAGAUCUUCUGAAGCUGGAGUGGCAGCUUUUCGAUAAAUCUCUGCAGCCUUUUAAUCAAAGAGCCACCACACCUUGGACAAGUACCAGAUGGACGCCCAACC
rnacentral:lncRNA from 1 species